GACGAACGCUGGCGGCGUGCUUAACACAUGCAAGUCGAACGGAAAGGCCCGGCUUUUGUGGGGUGCUCGAGUGGCGAACGGGGGAGUAACACGUGAGUAACCUGCCCUUGACUUUGGGAUAACUUCAGGAAACUGGGGCUAAUACCGGAUAGGAGCUCCUGCUGCAUGGUGGGGGUUGGAAAGUUUCGGCGGUUGGGGAUGGACUCGCGGCUUAUCAGCUUGUUGGUGGGGUAGUGGCUUACCAAGGCUUUGACGGGUAGCCGGCCUGAGAGGGUGACCGGCCACAUUCUUACUGAGAUCCGUCCCCGCCUCCUCCUGGAGGCAGCAGUGCGGCCUAUUGCACAAUGGGCGGAAGCCUGCUGCAGCCCCGCCGCGUGCGGGAUGACGGCCUUCGGGUUUUCAACCUCUUUCGCCUGUGACGAAGCGUGAGUGACGGUAAUGGGUAAAGAAGCACCGGCUAACUACGUG
rnacentral:rRNA from 1 species